GAGAGGUGGCAGAGUGGCUAAUCGCGGCGGUCUUGAAAACCGUUGGUCCGAAAGGGCGCGGGGGUUCGAAUCCCUCCCUCUCC
rnacentral:tRNA from 1 species